rnacentral:rRNA from 1 species
GACGUAGGGCGCGAGCGUUGUCCGGAUUUAUUGGGCGUAAAGAGCUCGUAGGCGGUUUGUCGCGUCGUCUGUGAAAACCCACGGCUCAACUGUGGGCUUGCAGUCGAUACGGGCAGGCUAGAGUUCGGUAGGGGAGACUGGAAUUCCUGGUGUAGCGGUGAAAUGCGCAGAUAUCAGGAGGAACACCGGUGGCGAAGGCGGGUCUCUGGGCCGAUACUGACACUGAGAAGCGAAAGCGUGGGGAGCGAACAGG